GGGGAAUUAGCUCAGCUGGGAGAGCGCCUGGUUUGCAACCAGGAGGUCACCGGUUCGAUCCCGGUAUUCUCCACCG
rnacentral:tRNA from 1 species